GGAGGAGGGGGAAGAGACAGCCCCCCCACUCCAACCCCAGUUGGCCACACCCUUCUCACUCCUACUUAUCAAAGCUGCAGGGAGAAUGUCAGACCUCGGCAGAAAUAACUGUGCUGUCAGACCCUGGCGGAAUCUAGAAAAUUCUUCACCCAUAUCUUAGAGACGCGGUCACUGAGACCCAGAAAAAAGAAGGCACUUGCUCAAGGCCACACCGUGGGAACUAGAACCUGGAUCCUUACUGCCCCCAGCUGUCAGCCCCCACGCCAUCCUGGGCUUUGGGGCGGGGUCCCCACACUCACACAAGCCAUAACUGAGGACAGGAGGAUGGUCCCGGGACGGCAGCACCAGCUAGCUGAAGACUCCACCCAAGAGAUGGGACCCUGGGCCUCUCCCACCUUUUAAGUGGACCAGACCCUGCACCAAAGAGGGAGGAAAAUGUGGACCACAAGUGACUCAUAUCUGGAGGCUAGGCCAGCAAACCCGCCCUGCACUUCGAUGCCUCCCCGGUCCAUCUGCCAUUGCUCCUCACCCCAUCGGCCAAUUUCCCCCCAGAUGGCGGAAGCCCACUCUGGCACAGGUGGAGUAGGGAUUGCAUGGCACUUGGAGGUAGGACCAGAGAGGGGACUGGGCCGCACCCCCUGUGAGCCCCUUACCCCUCCUCCCAGCCUAAGCCAACUGCCUCACAAACCAACCACAGCAGCUUCAGUUUUUCCUCCAGGGCCUUCCCAAAACCUCAACCUAAGGAGGGCUGGGUGGGGCCCGGCUCCACUGCCUCUCUGCUUUCCCUCCAAGGGCCACAGGCACCUUCUCCGCCUGAUCAAGGAACUGGGGCAUUUCAGGAGGAGGCCUAGACCAAGAACAGAGGUGCUUCAGACACAGUCCUUGCCCGACUGCCACCAGGAGAAUAUGGCUGGCUGUUCUGGCCAGUGGUUGGGCUGUCAGUUCCCCAAGAACUGCUUCUCCGGUCUUCCCCCAACCCGGAGAACACACCCAACACCAGAGGAUGUUUGCUGUUGGACCAGGGGCUGUUUGACUCUUCGGUGUCUGGCCACCGAAGGCUGGUAGAGUGUGAAUAGGCCCCCAGAAGGGCCUCCUUUAGGAGUCUAGAGACGGGUUUUGGUCCUAGGCUGUUGCAGGAAGCGACACCCCGACAGAAGAAUUGGGAUUCUCAGACAACAUUGUUUAGAGGAAGGAGAAUUUAUUAGGCAGGCGGAGCAUGUGGGGUUAACAACUCCAUGCACAAGCUCGCUCUAGUUGGAUUUAUUACAGCUUAUAUACUUUUGCAGUGUCUAUGCAAGGGGCACGUGAUUCCUUUGUCUGAGGUUUUAUAUGUCCCUCCUUACUCAGAGUGGGGAGGGGGGGCUUCGGGUGGGAGGGCUGCAGGGGAGGAAUUUCUAGACCCCUGGUCUUACAGGUUGUUUGUCUUGUAGAGUCUGAGACCUUGGUGUUAUCAACACUAUUAUCGGAUUCUUGAACAGAGAGUCAGGACUCCUAGCUUACAGACAGGGAGCAGCACUCAUUGAUGUCACACCGCUCAGUGGGUUCCUUAUCCAAAGACUGAGCUCUAACUGUAACACAACAAAUAGUUCCACACAGUCUUGACAUUCAUACACAGCUACAGAGAUAAGGAAGGGGCUGGAGAAUCCUUGAGGCGGGGGAUACAGCUGUGGAAAACACGUUAACUGAAGAGCAUAGGGCAGAAUGGGGGAAGAGAGAGCGGUUUUAACUGGCUGAGUCGGUUAUUCCUUCAGGCCCUUUCCUUUGCAUUUUUUCAGAUGCCUCCUCUCCUCUCUCAAGGCCUGCCACACCCUCCCCAAGGCAUUCUGGGAGGUCCCUUCUCCCUGCUUGCCUCAAUUUCCCUGUCUCUAAAUUAGGAAGGUUAAACCCUGCUCUCUGCACUAGGUUAGUACAGGGUGGAGUUCUGGUCGGUUGUACUAAAUAGAUGAUUAUUUUUUUCAUCCUCUCAGGUUUUAGCUUUUUGUCCCAGGCUGUUUACCUUCCUGGGGUCAACACCUCUGGAAGGUCCCUCCACCCCAAUCUGAUCCCUGUCAGUCCCCUCCUGCCUGGGCUAGGGCAGGGAGUCUCUCCAGAUUCCAGUGUUCCCAAUAACAGAGACUGUAGUUUUUCUGGAGGAGGGACAGGGACAAGGUACAUUGUGUGGUGGCGCCCACUUAUCUGCCCGGCCUUGUGCCCGGCGCCUCACUUUCAUACAUUAUCUCAUUUCGUGUUUGCCUCACCUCUUCUUGUCUGCCAAGUGGACCGAAAGGCACAGGGAAGCUGAUCUGGGCCCUGAAAUAAAGCUGAUGUUACAAUCAGGAGAACAGAGGCAAGUCUUGGUUUGGGGGCUGCCUGGCUGUGACUGUAGCCAAGUGCUUGACCUCUCCGAGCCUGUUUCCAGGCCUGGAAAGUGGGAAUGUUACCCAGUGGCCGGCUGGUUGAAGGAUUAGGGGAGUGAUGUGUGAGGGGUUCGACAUUCGUUCUCUCUCCUGCACCCCCAGGCCAGGGCCCCCUCCUUCAGGGACUCUCCUCCCCACAUCAUUGUCCCACAGCAGAGGGAGAGGGCUUCUGGAACUCCUGUUUUACUGACCUGACCUACAGACUGGAGCUUGGCUGCUGCAUGAGAGAUCUCAGCUCACCUUCACAGGGGGUCCAGGCCAGCAUGACCCUUCCCAGCCUGCCCUGCCUUGUGCCCAUGAAGGCUGUGUCUCCUGCAGCAGGCAGUGGUGGAGAGGGCUGCUGGGCUCACUGAAACACCACCCACGCCCCCUGCCUGAACUGCUCCCUCAUUUGAUGACAUAGCAACCAUCCAGCGAGGAUGACUCCUUGACACAUGUCACACAGGAGGCUAGGGCCAAAGUCAUGUUAUCUGUUGAGCCAAGGAAAGAACAUUGUGGGCCUGGAAUACUUGGACCUCAAAUAAUGAUUCUUUUUGGGUCCUGCUCCUUGAAGGGUAGGAAGGACUAGUAGCAGGGGGAGGGGAACCCCCCUCAACUUCAGGCACUUUUCCAACUGCUUUUUUUCCAAGUGCAGGAGCUCACCCCCCACUCACCUUGCUCAUCCUCCCUGCCUUUGCUUGUGCUGUUCCCCCACACAGACAGCCACCUCCCCAAAUGCAGUGGUCGUUGGUCACUUUUGCCUUCCCACCUGGUUGGUGUCUGUCCCAGCUCUGAUCACAGGCUCCAACUUGCCUUUGGGGAACCGCCCCUUCUCUCAUGUGAGGUCUGGCUGAGGACAGGCCCUAUCAUUCCUUAGACCCUCAGGGCUCAGGCAUGAGGCUUUUUUAGGGGUUUGGUUUUUUUUUUGAACUUUUUCUUUUGUCAUAAUUAUAGACUCACAGGAAGCUAAGAGCUUUUUAAGAGCUUAGAAAAUAUUUGAGACCUGAAGAAAAAAAAUGUCUUGGCUCCAAAAUACUAAAACUGCAAAGCUGGAAUUAAUAAAUGGUUGCUGUGCUCAAACUUAAAA